UAUUAAUUAACGGUUUUUUAAGUUUGUUGUUAUUAGAACGAAGAUAAGAAUAAAACUGUAUCAACACAUUUUUCUAAAAAGUUUUUGUACUCUCACAUCGAAGAAAACAGGGGGUGUAUGUAGACUUUUGUCCGCCACUGUAUAUCUCACUGACCAGUUGAGCAAUCUUACUGCAAAUUAUAGAAAAUAAAAGUGAAUGAAAUUUCCUAAAAAUAUUGUCUAUUCCAUUUUUCCAUAGGCCUUAUAAUUUCUGAGAAAUUGAUUAAUCACUUCGUGUUUUUAAAUUUUUUUAUGAAAAAAUUAAAAAAAAAAAAAUAAACUUUGGCAAGGAAAAAAUUUUAAAACAAAAGAUAUUUUUUAAAUUUUUUUUUAUUUUAUAUAAAGUCCUGUUUCUUUAUAAAAAAACUAAGCUACCAACGAAGAAAAUCCAUAAAUAAAUAGGAAAGUUGCCCAUGAUAAAAUAAAUGUAUCCAAGUCGCGCAAAGUCAAUGUAUACAUACAUAUACAUAUAUAUGCGUAUGUAGUGUGUAGUGUGUAAAGUAGGGGUGCGAUUGUUUUCGAAUAUCAUUAGAAUAAACUAAUAACGCUAUUCGUUUAAAAAAAAUCAAAUAAUACUUUUAGAACAGUAAUACUCAAAUACUGUUGUAGUAGGUUGUUUGCAUCGAAAGCAAAAGGUGUCAGGUUCGAAACCCUUGUAGUCAUGUUAAUUUGCUUAACAUGUGUGUAGGUAUACAGGCAGAUUUUCGAAGGAUAAUUAGUUGCGGAAAAUUCCUAAUGCAAAUAAAUUUAAUUCAAACAUGCAUACCUACAUGCACACACACAUAUCUUGGUAAAUUCGUUAAUUUUUUUAAGGCCAACAUCAACAGCAGGUAGUAUUUUCUUUUCCCGGCUCGUUAAUAUGAAGGAACUUUUUGUGUUCCUUGUGUCGAAUAAUAUAGGUUCAAUGGGAAUCAGGAUCAACAAAGCGAUACAUGAAAUUUAAUGUACCAAUGAUGUGGCGAGAACCUACAUGCCACUCAGAAGAUUGUUAUAUUUGUAUGACAAAAGUACUUGGCUUUGGAAAAUCAAGAAAAGUGAUUUAUGCUAACGUACCUACCGUUUCAUUGCCAGUUCCACAUUCAGCUGAAGUUGCGUAUCCAGUUUCGUUGUCAACAGCAGUAUCUGAAAGAUCAUCUGAAUAUGGGAAAUCAAGUUGUAAUGAUUUUUUAAUGGAAAACGAGAGAAACGUUCUAUCACAAGUGCAACUAAAUGAUUAGAUUAGAGAUUUGGAAUUAUCCAAGGAAAAAGCUGAGCUACAUGCCUCUCGUAUGCAACAAUUUCAAUUCAUGUCACCCCAUGUUAAGGUGACAUAUUAUAGAAAUCGUCAUGAACCAUUUGCCAAACACUAUACGAAGGAAGACAAUGUAUGCUAUUGCAAAGACAUUCCAGGAUUAUUCAAAGAGUUUGGUCAACCAUAUGAUUCCGAGGAGUGGCGAUUGUUCAUAGACAGCAAUAAACUGAGCUUGAAAGCCGUAUUACUGCGUAAUGGCAACAAAAAGCCCUCGAUCCCGAUCGCGCAUGCAGUAAACACGAAGGAAACAUACGAGGUAAUGGAGAAAUUGUUAAAAUUCAUCAAAUAUGAAGAGCAUGAUUGGAAAAUAUGUGCCGAUCUUAAAGUCGUUGGAAUGUUAUGCGGUCUACAAAGUGGCUACACAAAACACUGCUGCUUUCUCUGCAAAUGGGAUAGCCGAGCUCGUAAAGACCAUUAUUGCAUUAAGAAUUGGCCGGAAAGAGUUGAAUUUACAAUUGGUGUAGAUAAUAUCAAAUACGUCUCACUUGUAAAGAAGGAAAAAAUCAUUCUUCCGCCAUUGCACAUCAAGCUCGGCCUCAUUAAAAAUUUUGUUAAGGCGUUGGACAAAGAAAGCAAAGCAUUCAAUUAUUUGCAAAAUUUUUUCCCAAAUAUUUCCCAGGCCAAGAUAAAAGAAGGUAUAUUUGUUGGACCCCAAUAAAUAAUGAGCAAUUCAAAGGACUAUUGUCACCAGUUGAGGCUGCAGCGUGGGAUUCCUUCGAAAUGAUCGUUUCUUCUUUUCUCGGUAAACACAAAAAUCCAAACUACGAGAAGAUAGUGGCGACUUAAUCAAAAAUUAUGCAGAAAUGGGCGUAAAUAUGUCUUUAAAAAUUCAUUUUCUGCAUUCAGAUUUAAGUUUUUUUCCGGCAAAUCUCGGAGACGAAAGUGACGAGCAUGGCGAAAGGUUUCACCAGCAAAUGAAAUUAAUUGAGAAUCGAUACCAAGGUUUCUGGGACGUCGGUGUGAUGGGUGACUACUGUUGGUUUCUCAUAAGAGAAACCGAUCCUAAACUAAAUAAACGACAAAACAAAACACAUAAUCAUUUCGACUAUAAUGUAAGAACAUCAACUUAAGACAAAAAUAACACAUUGUUUUAAUAUAUAUUACUAAUAUAUAAAUAAAUGAGUUUAUAAAAACUAAAAACGACAUGAAAAUUGACUUUUUACUUAACAGAAACAGCGCAUAACUAGAUAUCCCA